GGCGAUGUAGCUCAGUCCGGUUAGAGCGUGGGAUUCAUAACCCCAAGGUCGGUGGUUCGAUCCCACCCAUCGCCACCA
rnacentral:tRNA from 1 species